rnacentral:rRNA from 1 species
UACAGAGGUGGCAAGCGUUGUUCGGAAUUACUGGGCGUAAAGGGCGCGUAGGCGGCCUUCUAAGUCAGACGUGAAAUCCCCCGGCUUAACCUGGGAACUGCGUCUGAUACUGGGAGGCUUGAGUAUGGGAGAGGGAUGUAGAAUUCCAGGUGUAGCGGUGAAAUGCGUAGAUAUCUGGAGGAAUACCGGUGGCGAAGGCGGCAUCCUGGACCAUAACUGACGCUGAGGCGCGAAAGCGUGGGGAGCAAACAGG